rnacentral:rRNA from 1 species
GUGAGGAAUAUCCGGUCAAUGGACGGAAGUCUGAACCAGCCAAGUAGCGUGCAGGAUGACGGCCCUAUGGGUUGUAAACUGCUUUUGUAUGGGGAUAAAGUUAGGGACGUGUCCCUAUUUGCAGGUACCAUACGAAUAAGGACCGGCUAAUUCCGUGCCAGCAGCCGCGGUAAUACGGAAGGUCCAGGCGUUAUCCGGAUUUAUUGGGUUUAAAGGGAGCGUAGGCUGGAGAUUAAGUGUGUUGUGAAAUGUAGACGCUCAACGUCUGAAUUGCAGCGCAUACUGGUUUCCUUGAGUACGCACAACGUUGGCGGAAUUCGUCGUGUAGCGGUGAAAUGCUUAGAUAUGACGAAGAACUCCGAUUGCGAAGGCAGCUGACGGGAGCGCAACUGACGCUUAAGCUCGAAGGUGCGGGUAUCAAACAGGAUUAGAUACCCUGGUAGUCCGCACAGUAAACGAUGGAUGCCCGCUGUUGGUACCUGGUAUCAGCGGCUAAGCGAAAAGCAUUAAGCAUCCCACCUGGGGAGUACGCCGGCAACGGUG